UUAUAUUUUAGUUAUUUUAAUAUUUUUUUUAAUCAUUAACAGAUUUACAACAAAAAUGUAUGAUUUUUACAAAAUUUGCAUAUUUUUAACCACACCUCCAAUACUAUAUAUACAUAUGCAACAUAUUGUUGAAGGCAUAUAAAACUUUACCAACAAGUUUCGGGCGGUAAUGCGAAAAGACUGGAUGAAUUAUUUAUGGAAGAAUUUCUCGUGUAUAUGCUUCGGUAGCUUCAAAGUUGAGUAAAAUAACUUUUAGAUGGUCUAACUACUUUUGAAACACGAAUGUAAAAAGCAGAAAAAAAUGUUUAGGUAAAAAUAUUUUAGAAAGCUAUACUUUCGCCGGAACUGCUGAUAUCGCAGUCAUUCAAAUUAAUCAAACAAAAUCAAAUUUUGCUUGGAGAGCUUUGAAGAGAUAUUUGCACGGAAUUAACUUAUAAGUUAUUGUUCAAGCCAACGAUAUAAUCUUCGAAAAAGAAAUGUUUAAAUCGGACCGCUUCUGUUUUAUUCUCCGAAGGGCUAGGUUAACGUUUCUUCCGGUUUGAUAUAUAAUUAUUAUACAAUAUUGUAAUUUUUUUUGAAAUUUUUAUUAAAAUACGAAAAUGUCGGUAAAAAAUUACAUAUAUGAACUACUACAAUCGUUAUCUAACAAAGGUUUCUAAUCAAAAAGAUGAAAUUGUUUGUCUGGAUACUUCUUAGUUUGAAUAAAAAAAUAUUUUUUUUCUAUAAGCUUUAUCAGUGCUAUCUUUCAAAAUAACCACAAGUUCCUAAACUGUUUAAAAUGUUUUAUAUGUCACCUACGUACAUGUAUGUGGGGAAAUCCACAACAUUUGAUUUAUUGAUUGGUUGGUUGAAAAGCGAGGCGCAUAAGUAGCAGACCGCACUUAAGUCUUCAUUAGGCCCAUGUUGUUAUUGUUUUAGCGGCUAAAUUCUGCCGAGUUCACAGUCCCUGACCAGUUAAAAAAUUCGAGUCCGUUCUGGUUACGUAGACCCAGCAACUCAGUGGAUUUGCUAAAAAACCCUGAUACUUUCUCAACUCAGCUGCCCAAUGUCUCUUAAGUUGUAGCAUUGAGAACCGUAGAAUAUGUGCGCCCAUCCGGCUGAAGUCUGAGCAUUCGCAUAGAUAAUGCGACUCAUCAACCUCUGCCGCAUCCACUUUUUCAUUUUCUGCAAGGUGCGCUGUGAUGAUCACUGCAAUGUUACUGAAACUUACUUUAAUAUAUAGGUCUAAGAACUGUCAAACCUUUUCCUUUCUUUAGCUUAUUCCGUUUUUCCAGAAAAUAAA
rnacentral:lncRNA from 1 species